AGACAGCCAGGAUGUUGGCUUAGAAGCAGCCAUCAUUUAAAGAAAGCGUAAUAGCUCACUGGUCGAGUCGGCCUGCGCGGAAGAUGUAACGGGGCUAAACCAUGCACCGAAGCUGCGGCAGCGACGCUUAGGCGUUGUUGGGUAGGGGAGCGUUCUGUAAGCCGUUGAAGGUGGCCUGUGAGGGUUGCUGGAGGUAUCAGAAGUGCGAAUGCUGACAUAAGUAACGAUAAAGCGGGUGAAAAGCCCGCUCGCCGGAAGACCAAGGGUUCCUGUCCAACGUUAAUCGGGGCAGGGUGAGUCGACCCCUAAGGCGAGGCUGAAAAGCGUAGUCGAUGGGAAACAGGUUAAUAUUCCUGUACUUGGUGUUACUGCGAAGGGGGGACGGAGAAGGCUAGGCUGGCCGGGCGACGGUUGUCCCGGUUUAAGCGUGUAGGGGGUGUGACCUGGUAAAUCCGGUUGCAUAUCAACCCUGAGGCGUGAUGACGAUGCACUACGGUGCAGAAGUAGUUGAUGCCCUGCUUCCAGGAAAAUCCUCUAAGCUCCAGGUAACAUUAAAUCGUACCCCAAACCGACACAGGUGGUCAGGUAGAGAAUACCAAGGCGCUUGAGAGAACUCGGGUGAAGGAACUAGGCAAAAUGGUGCCGUAACUUCGGGAGAAGGCACGCUGGCAUGUAGGUGAAGUCCCUCGCGGAUGGAGCUGAAGCCAGUCGAAGAUACCAGCUGGCUGCAACUGUUUAAUAAAAACACAGCACUGUGCAAACACGAAAGUGGACGUAUACGGUGUGACGCCUGCCCGGUGCUGGAAGGUUAAUUGAUGGGGUCAGCCGCAAGGCGAAGCUCUUGAUCGAAGCCCCAGUAAACGGCGGCCGUAACUAUAACGGUCCUAAGGUAGCGAAAUUCCUUGUCGGGUAAGUUCCGACCUGCACGAAUGGCGUAAUGAUGGCCAGGCUGUCUCCACCCGAGACUCAGUGAAAUUGAACUCGCUGUGAAGAUGCAGUGUACCCGCGGCAAGACGGAAAGACCCCGUGAACCUUUACUAUAGCUUGACACUGAACAUUGAGCCUUGAUGUGUAGGAUAGGUGGGAGGCUUUGAAGCGUGGACGCCAGUCUGCGUGGAGCCAUCCUUGAAAUACCACCCUUUAAUGUUUGAUGUUCUAACUCUGCCCC
rnacentral:rRNA from 1 species